CUACGGGAGGCUCCAGUGGGGAAUAUUGCGCAAUGGGGGAAACCCUGACGCAGUGACGCCGUGUGAGUGAUGAAGGUUUUCGGAUCGUAAAGCUCUGUCAGACGGGAAGAAUAAGGGUAGAGAAAAUAUCUCUAUCUGAUGACGGUACCGUCAGAGGAAGCACCGGCUAACUCCGUGCCAGCAGCCGCGGUAAUACGGAGGGUGCAAACGUUGUUCGGAAUUACUGGGCGUAAAGCGCAUGUAGGCGGAUAUGUAGGUCAGAUGUGAAAGCCCUUGGCUCAACCAAGGAAGUGCAUCUGAAACCACAUGUCUUGAGUAUGACAGAGGAAAGUGGAAUUCCCAGUGUAGAGGUGAAAUUCAUAGAUAUUGGGAAGAACACCGGUGGCGAAGGCGGCUUUCUGGGUCAUUACUGACGCUGAGAUGCGAAAGCGUGGGGAGCAAACAGGAUUAGAUACCCUGGUAGUC
rnacentral:rRNA from 1 species